rnacentral:rRNA from 1 species
GGCCAGCAGCUGCGGUAUGACGGAGGGGGGUAGGGUUGUUCGGAAUUACUGGGCGUAAAGCGCACGUAGGCGGAUUAGUAAGUUAGGGGUGAAAUCCCGGGGCUCAACCCCGGAACUGCCUCUAAUACUGCUAGUCUUGAGUUCGAGAGAGGUGAGUGGAAUUCCGAGUGUAGAGGUGAAAUUCGUAGAUAUUCGGAGGAACACCAGUGGCGAAGGCGGCUCACUGGCUCGAUACUGACGCUGAGAUGCGAAAGCGUGGAGAGCAAACAGGAUUAGAUA